rnacentral:lncRNA from 1 species
CUGAAGAUAAAGUUUUUGAUGGUAGAUGGAGUCGAGGAGGUCCGCAGAGAUCAGGACUUGGCACGCUACUGCUACAACAUCACUCUUUAAAGAGCUAAGCCUGUCGAGUCAUACUCGAUUGAAGGGCUGGACACCCAUGACAAAUUGGCUGAGAAGCAUGAAAAACCAGCUAAGGAUCUUAUAACCAUUCUCUUGGCAGAAGGAAACCAAGGGCACACUGUCUAGAUAGGAUCGAACCU